GUAGAAACGAAAGUGGGGAAAGAAUGAUUGCAACUUAGGAGGGCCAAAUUACCUAAAAAAGUUGAACCACACGGGAAGAGCGUGGUCUAGCCCGCAUGUUAUCUUGUACUCCACUUCCAGCGGAGAAAAAGAAGGCCACCUCGGUUCCUCGCUCGCGAGUCACGAGCAAACAAGCCACUGGUGGAGUCGGAGUAGAAGUCCAAUUACGGUGGUGCUCGCCGGAAAAAAGACAAAAAUAUAUAAUUAUGAAAGAGAACUCCGUCUCUACCUGACUCUGAAGAUUAUAUGAUACUACAGAAUCGGCACAAUGAGAGGAAAAGGAAAUCAGAAUCAGGACGAGGAAGAGUACGAG
rnacentral:misc_RNA from 1 species